AUUGAACGCUGGCGGAAUGCUUUACACAUGCAAGUCGAACGGCAGCACGGGUGCUUGCACCUGGUGGCGAGUGGCGAACGGGUGAGUAAUACAUCGGAACGUACCCAGUUGUGGGGGAUAACUACCGAAAGGUUAGCUAAUACCGCAUACGACCUGAGGGUGAAAGCGGGGGACCGUAAGGCCUCGCGCAAUUGGAGCGGCCGAUGUCUGAUUAGCUAGUUGGUAGGGUAAAGGCCUACCAAGGCGACGAUCAGUAGCUGGUCUGAGAGGAUGAUCAGCCACACUGGAACUGAGACACGGUCCAGACUCCUACGGGAGGCAGCAGUGGGGAAUUUUGGACAAUGGGCGAAAGCCUGAUCCAGCCAUUCCGCGUGAGUGAAGAAGGCCUUCGGGUUGUAAAGCUCUUUCGGCAGGGAAGAAACGGCCUAGGUUAAUACCUUGGGCUAAUGACGGUACCUGAAGAAGAAGCACCGGCUAACUACGUGCCAGCAGCCGCCGUAA
rnacentral:rRNA from 1 species